rnacentral:rRNA from 1 species
AUGUCCAGCUGCUCGUCCUCCUCCGCCUCUUCUCCAAGUGUCCAUCCUAUCGCAACUCAGCUUCAGAAUUGGGUGCGUAUGAAAAAUGCAAUGGAGGUUAUGUUAAUUCCUAGAGUUUUAUAUGUUCUUUUGUCUCGUGGUGAUUACUUCGAAUGGCUAUGUGAGGUUUUUCAGUUUUUGACUCUAUGCAAUUCUUGGUGCAAGGGCCCCCGCUUCCUUGUUGUGACUUGCAGCCUUACUGGCCCUUCUGCAGGUAUGUACAAGCGCCUCUGGCAUACCCUCGAGAAAGAAAGCGAAGGAUAA